rnacentral:rRNA from 1 species
ACUCAAAGGAAUAGACGGGGGCCCGCACAAGCGGUGGAGCAUGUGGUUUAAUUCGAUGCAACGCGAAGAACCUUACCAGGGUUUGACAUCCCCUGACCGAUAUGGAAACAUAUCUUCGUCCUUCGGGGCGCAGGGAGACAGGUGGUGCAUGGCUGUCGUCAGCUCGUGUCGUGAGAUGUUGGGUUAAGUCCCGCAACGAGCGCAACCCUUGUCCUAAGUUGCCAGCGAGUAAUGUCGGGUACUUUUAGGAGACCGCCGGCGACAAGUCGGAGGAAGGUGGGGAUGACGUCAAGUCAUCAUGCCCUUUAUGCCCUGGGCAACACACGUGCUACAAUGGCCGGUACAGAGGGCAGCGAAAGCGCGAGCUGUAGCGAAUCCCUUAAAGCCGGUCACAGUUCGGAUCGCAGGCUGCAAUUCGCCUGUGUGAAGUAGGAAUCGCUAGUAAUCACGGGUCAGAAUACCGUGGUGAAUACGUUCCCGGGCCUUGCACACACCGCCCGU